UAGCACUUGAUACUAACUGAGCUAUCUAUGUCCUAGCCUUGUGUCAAAGGCUUGUCAUGUGUUGUGAUAAGUGUGUUUAGGAAGUGCAACAUUAAAACAAAACCCAUGAGUCUUUGAAGCCUAGUAUGUAAAAGAUACACUCCAAGUUAUAUAACUCAUUGACCCAAUU